GCGCCCAUAGCUCAGUCCGGAUAGAGCACCAGACUACGGAUCUGGGUUUGCGGGGGUUCAAAUCCCUCUGGGCGCACCA
rnacentral:tRNA from 2 species